rnacentral:sRNA from 1 species
CGUCAACGCAAGGAGGCAGAUAUGGGACUAACGCAUUCUUUGAAUGUCCUGAUCGUCGGUGCAGCGUUUGUGUUCAUUGGCGCUAUGCUCUUCAUCUGAGACAUAAGCGGCAUCAUCAGGCAGAACAGCUGGUAAAGAUCGCAUAUCCCUAAAGUCGCCUUUGAGGCACGGGUUCAAAACAUAAGGCGCAUGGACCAGAGCGGUUCAUGCGCCUU